rnacentral:piRNA from 1 species
UAGUUUGUUUUUGUUUUAAAU